rnacentral:rRNA from 1 species
UUUCCCUCAGGAUAGCUGGCACUCGCGCUCAUGCGAGUCUCAUCUGGUAAAGCGAAUGAUUAGAGGCCUUGGGGCCGAAACGACCUCAACCUAUUCUCAAACUUUAAAUGGGUGAGAUCUCUGGCUUGCUUGAACGUUGAAGCCAUGAGAAAGUUGAAUGGAUCAGAGUGCCAAGUGGGCCAAUUUUGGUAAGCAGAACUGGCGCUGUGGGA